rnacentral:rRNA from 1 species
GCGUGCCUAAUACAUGCAAGUCGAGCGAAUCGACGGGAGCUUGCUCCCUGANAUUAGCGGCGGACGGGUGAGUAACACGUGGGCAACCUGCCUAUAAGACUGGGAUAACUUNGGGAAACCGGAGCUAAUACCGGAUACGUUCUUUUCUCGCAUGAGAGAANAUGGAAAGACGGUUUACGCUGUCACUUAUAGAUGGGCCCGCGGCGCAUUAGCUAUGUUGGUGAGGUAAUGGCUCACCAAGGCGACGAUGCGUANCCNACCUGANAGGGUGAUCGGCCACACUGGGACUGAGACACGGCCCACACUCCUACGGGAGGCANNANUANGGAAUCUUCCGCAAUGGACNAAAGUCUGACNNAGCAACNCCNCGUGAACGAAGAAGGCCUUCNGGNNGGAAAGUUCUGUUGUUAGGGAAUAACANCUACCAGAGUAACUGCUGGUCCUUGACGGUACCUAACCACAAAGCCACUGNUAACUACGUGCCAAAGAGCCUAUGGUAAUACGUAGGUGGAAAGCGUUGCCCGGAAUUAUUGNGCUGUAAAGCCGCCCGCAAGUGGUUCCUUAAGUCUCAAUGGGAAAGCCCACCGCUCAACCCGUGGAUGGUCAUUGGAAACUGGGGAACUUGACUGCNGAAGAGGAAAGUGGNAUUCCAANNGUAGCAGGAGAAAUGCNUAAANAUUNGGANGAACACCAGNGGCNAAAGCGACUUUCUGGUCUGUAACUGACACUGAGAGCGCNAAAGCNUGGNGAGCAAACAGGAUUAAAUNCCCUGGUANUNCACGCCGUACACGAUGAGUGCUAAACAGUUAGAGGGAUUCCGACCUUUAGUGCUGCANCUAANNCUUUANGCACUNNCCNUGGGAAGAGCGUCGCAAGCUGUAANUCAAAGAAUUGACGGGGGCCCGCCUAAUCGUGGAGCAUGUGGCUUAAUUCGAAGCAACUGCGAAGAACAUUAACCAGGUCUUGACAUCNUCUGACAACCUUAGAGAUAGGACUUUCCCCUUCUGGGGACAGAGUGACAAGUGGUGCAUGGUUGUAAGGAAGCUCGUGUCGCGACAUGUUGGGUUAAAUCCCGCAACGAGCGCAACCCUUGACUNUAAGUUCNCAGCANUUAAGUUGGGCACUCUAAGGUGACAUNNNGGUNCCAAACCGNAGNAAGGUGGGGAUNACGUCNAAUNAUNAUGCCCCUUAUGNCNUGGNCUNNNCACGUGCUACAAUGGAUGGNNCAAAGGNCUGCAAACGNUGCGAAGGUAAGCGAAUCCCAUAAAGCCAUUCUCAGUUCGGAUUGCAGCCAUGCAAUNUNGCCUGCAUGAAGCCGGAAUCGCCUAGUAAUCGCGGAUCAGCAUGCCGCGGUGAAUACGUUCCCGGGCCUUGUACACACCGCCCGUCACACCACGAGAGUUUGUAACACCCGAAGUCGGUGAGGUAACCUUCAUGGAGCCAGCCGCCUAAGGUGGGACAGAUGAUUGGGGUGAAGUCGUAACAAGG